CCUUUGGGGAGUAGCCUUCCGUUCUGACGGAACAAUCAUCAACAUAAUUGAAGCAAAAUCUUCAUGGUGAUUGUGACUGACCAUCUCUCCGGUCAGUU
rnacentral:sRNA from 2 species